rnacentral:lncRNA from 1 species
AAACUUACCAUUUAAUGAUACAUAUUGUUAGGGCUCAAUUUCAUCCGGCCCAACAAAAACCAAACAAAUAAAUAAAAACAAUAAAAAAUGUCUAUUAUUAAAGUUCAUUUAUAAAAAAUAAUGGCUUAAAUACAAAAAAAAACCCUAAGGCCCACUGUCUUAAAAAUUUUCAGAAACUCUAAUAGUCCCUAACCCCCUGCCGCUCCGCUCCCUGACAUGUCUGCGGACGCGGCGCCCGAAACCUUCCCCCUUGCACCAAAACGGCAGCAGUAACCACAUUGACUUCCACCACCCCUGUAAUAAACACAAAAAAGAAAAAGAAGCAGAAAC